rnacentral:rRNA from 1 species
CAGCCGCCGCGGGAAUACGUAGGGUGCGAGCGUUAAUCGGAAUUACUGGGCGUAAAGCGUGCGCAGGCGGUUCGUUAAGACAGAUGUGAAAUCCCCGGGCUUAACCUGGGAACUGCAUUUGUGACUGGCGAGCUAGAGUAUGGCAGAGGGGGGUAGAAUUCCACGUGUAGCAGUGAAAUGCGUAGAGAUGUGGAGGAAUACCGAUGGCGAAGGCAGCCCCCUGGGCCAAUACUGACGCUCAUGCACGAGAGCGUGGGGAGCAAACAGGAUUAGAUACCCCUGUAGUCCCUGUCUCUUAUAC